CGCGCUCCCCUUUGGUUGGGUGUAGUGGCCGUUGAGGCCCUUCGGGUUUGGCUUCCCUCUCGCCUCCCCUCACGCAGAAGGGCUGGAGGAGAGUCGGGUAAGCCCGGCGGCGCUUCCUUGUGGUGACUAUGGACGUGGAUGCUUUUAUCUUUCUCCCUCUCUUGACGUGUAGAGGAAAUGCUCGUGGGAGAGGCGGAGACGGGGUCUUGCCUGCGCAUACCUAGAUUUAAGAAAGGGAAUGGCAAGGGUCAGGAGACGCCUGUGUCGAAAGAAGAGGGGCAAGAAGCAGCAAGCAAAAAGUGUGUGGCACAAUUUGACAACGCUAUCUAAUUAACACCAGUUGCAUAAUGGAACUCUGAAGACACGUGAAAAGUGAAAGGGGUUAAAGAAUGAGUGACAUUCACAGGAGAAUUUUCACGAGCUACAUAAGGGCUGUUGUGAAGAUAAAAACAGAGAAGGGAAGGCAAUGUACACAGCCGUGAGCUCCUGGGAGGAAAUGCUACUUACAAAUAUACAACAAGGAGCAACAUAUACUCAAAUUUAUGUGAGGUUUCACAACUGUCAGCAACACCCAAAGUCAUAGCUGUCAACGUUUCCCUUUUUUAAAGGGAAAUUCCCUUAUUCCGAAUAGGAUUCCUCGCAAGAAAAGGGAAAAGUUGACAGCUAUGCCCAAGAUAUCCUUGGGUAAAA